rnacentral:rRNA from 1 species
CUAAGAUUCCCUUAGUAACGGCGAGUGAAUCGGGAGUUAGCCCAGCACUGAAUCCUCUCGACCAUUAAUGGUUACGAGGAGCUGUAGUGUAAAGGGUCUGUGAAUAUCGUGCAGCGUUUGUCGCAGAUAAGUCGUCUUGAAAGUCUCGACUCCGGAGCGGGUGCGAGACCCUUGUCGACGUGGGCAGCGCAGCGAACGUCUAACAGGCCCUAAGAGUCGGGUUGUUUGGGAUUGCAACCUGAAGAUCGGUGGUAAGCUCCAUCGAAGGCUAAAUACUUCCACGAGACCGAUAGCAAACAAGUACCGUGAGGGAACGUUGAAAAGAACUUUGAAGAGAGAGUUCAAUAGAAUGUGAAACCGCCCAAAGGUAAACGAGUGGCACCGCAUUUCUGUCCCAGCGGCGUACAGGCGACAACCAAGACGCGGGGUUGCUCGUCGACGUGGCCGUGUUCGGGGAAAACCGUCAAGAUCGCUUCAUUCUCCGUCGAACAACGGGACUCUCGACUGAGUCUGCUCGUCAAGUGGCUUCGAUUCGUCGCUCGCCGCCUCUGUCGCGUAUUCUCGACCGCGGGGAAACUGCCCUCGGCGAAGUGGAGCGGGAGAAAAGCCUUGUCGAAUGCGCGAUUCGGUGGUCGAGCCUGUGCGAGUGCGCGCCCUCUCUCGAGAGGGUUGCCUCUCGCAUGAGUUCCUGCCGUGCCGCGUUCGAUGGUAUCGU